CGGGUUAAGUCCCAUAACGAGCGCAACCCCUACCUUUAGUUGCCAUCAGGUAAUGCUGGGGACUCUAAAGGAACUGCCUACGCAAGUAGUGAGGAAGGCGGGGAUGACGUCAAAUCAGCACGGCCCUUACGUCCAGGGCUACACACGUGCUACAAUGGCCGAUACAGAGGGCAGCUACCUGGUGACAGGAUGCAAAUCUCCAAAGUCGGUCUCAGUUCGGAUCGGAGUCUGCAACCCGACUCCGUGAAGUUGGAUUCGCUAGUAAUCGCGCAUCAGCCAUGGCGCGGUGAAUACGUUCCCGGGCCUU
rnacentral:rRNA from 1 species